GACGAACGCUGGCGGCGUGCUUAACACAUGCAAGUCGAACGGCGAAGCGCCUUCCUUUUUGUUGGGUGUGGAUGAGUGGCGAACGGGUGAGUAACACGAGAGUAACCUGCCCCCUUCUUCUGGAUAACCGCAUGAACGUGUGGCUAAUCCGGGUUCUUCUGGGUCUGUCGCAUGAUGGGUCUGGGGAAGAUAUUGUUUCGGUUGGGGAUGGGUCCGCGGCCUAUCAGCUUGUUGGGGGGGUGAUGGCCUACCAAGGCGGUUACUAGUAGCCGGCCGGGGAGGGUGAGCGGUCACAGUGGUGCUGAGACGCGGCGCAGACUCCGACGGGCGGCAGUGGUGGAUAAUAGUGCACGAUGGGCGGAAGGCUGAAGCAGCGACGCGUCGGUAGAGAUGGAGUUCGGCUGGUUGAGAACUUCUUUCGGGAGUGAAGCAGGGCUGCCUCGUUUGUGGGUGGGUUGACGGUAGCUAGAGAAGAAGCGCCGGCUAACUACGUG
rnacentral:rRNA from 1 species